UACAGAGGGUGCGAGCGUUGUUCGGAAUUACUGGGCGUAAAGGGCUCGUAGGUGGCCAACUAAGUCAGACGUGAAAUCCCUCGGCUUAACCGGGGAACUGCGUCUGAUACUGGAUGGCUUGAGUUCGGGAGAGGGAUGCGGAAUUCCAGGUGUAGCGGUGAAAUGCGUAGAUAUCUGGAGGAACACCGGUGGCGAAGGCGGCAUCCUGGACCGACACUGACGCUGAGGAGCGAAAGCCAGGGGAGCAAACGGG
rnacentral:rRNA from 1 species